UUGCAGAAUAAAUGCAUGACGCAUAGAGGUUUAAAAAAGACCAAUCGUUUUUAUCGCUAUAACAAUAGGUCUCGUUUUUUAUAUGUUAAUAAAUUAAUAAUGAAUCUAGUAUUUAUUUUAUAAUCAAUAUAAUAGUAAUUAUAUCCAAAUACUAUAGUUCUCUCUUUUUAAAUUAGUUUAAAAUAAAAAGAAAGGGGGAGAUAUAGAAUGUAGAUAUGGUAUUUUAAAAUUUCUUUGGGUGAGGGGAAGAUACUAUCAAGUAACAAAUCUCAAGACUCAAUCCAAUCACAGCCAUCAGACCAACACACAUUAGAAAAAGUUCAUUAAUAGCACAACACACAGGUGUAUACCAGGCCAUCUACACAGCCCCAAAACAUUGCUCUAGUUUUAUUGACAACAAUGAUGAGAGAAAAGGGGGAGGAGCCAAUUAUUGAUCGGUCAAGCCGUUAAUUAGGUCACACACUAAGCAUGCUAGUACGUUGAUGCUUUUUGUAUGUGUGUGCAACAGACACUGAGCGUGCUCUAAGAUACGUUUUUUUUUUGGUCAACCAGUGGCUUGGAGAAGGCGGAAUUUAUCUAGAAUCUAGAUGUAUAGCCUGAUGCCUACUUAUGUACAGCUUAUCCUGUUGAAGAUGAGGAAUAUUAUAUUUAUAAGUUUGAAGCUUUGGCCAAUGCAGCCACUGCCCACCACAUGUUGUUGUAUGGAUGCGAUGUUGAACCUUUAUCUACAGAGAGCAUCUGGGACUGUCCAGGCAUGUGCAAAAAUGGUUGGUCUACUAUUAUGUUUGCUUGGGCCAAAAAUGCUCCUCCAACUGUCUU